GACGAGUCUCACAAACGUUAUUCGGAAUUACUGGGCUUAAAGGGUGCGUAGGCGGUGGAGUAAGUCGGAUGUGAAAUACCUUAGCUUAACUAGGGAACUGCACUCGAUACUACUUUGCUAGAGUAAGACAGAGGUGAGUGGAACUGAGGGUGGAGCGGUGAAAUGCGUUGAUAUCCUCAGGAACACCGGUGGCGAAGGCGACUCACUGGGACGGUACUGACGCUGAGACGCGAAAGCGUGGGGAGCGAACAGG
rnacentral:rRNA from 1 species